AACGAACGCUGGCGGCAUGCCUAACACAUGCAAGUCGAACGAGACCUUCGGGUCUAGUGGCGCACGGGUGCGUAACGCGUGGGAAUCUGCCCUUGGGUUCGGAAUAACAGCUAGAAAUGACUGCUAAUACCGGAUGAUGACUUCGGUCCAAAGAUUUAUCGCCCAGGGAUGAGCCCGCGUAGGAUUAGCUUGUUGGUGAGGUAAAAGCUCACCAAGGCGACGCUCCUUAGCUGGUCUGAGAGGAUGAUCAGCCACACUGGGACUGAGACACGGCCCAGACUCCUACGGGAGGCAGCAGUGGGGAAUAUUGGACAAUGGGCGAAAGCCUGAUCCAGCAAUGCCGCGUGAGUGAUGAAGGCCUUAGGGUUGUAAAGCUCUUUUACCCGGGAUGAUAAUGACAGUACCUGGAGAAUAAGCCCCGGCUAACUCCGUGCCAGCCGCCGCGGUAAGAC
rnacentral:rRNA from 1 species